rnacentral:rRNA from 1 species
AUUGAACGCUGGCGGCAUGCCUUACACAUGCAAGUCGAACGGUAACAGGUCUUCGGAUGCUGACGAGUGGCGAACGGGUGAGUAAUACAUCGGAACGUGCCUAGUAGUGGGGGAUAACUACUCGAAAGAGGCUAAUACCGCAUGAGAUCUACGGAUGAAAGCAGGGGAUCGCAAGACCUUGUGCUACUAGAGCGGCCGAUGGCAGAUUAGGUAGUUGGUGGGAUAAAAGCUUACCAAGCCGACGAUCUGUAGCUGGUCUGAGAGGACGAUCAGCCACAGUGGGACUGAGACACGGCCCAGACUCCUACGGGAGGCAGCAGUGGGGAAUUUUGGACGAUGGGCGCAAGCCUGAUCCAGCAAUGCCGCGUGCAGGAUGAAGGCCUUCGGGUUGUAAACUGCUUUUGUACGGAACGAAAAGCCCUGGGUUAAUACCCUGGGGUCAUGACGGUACCGUAAGAAUAAGCACCGGCUAACUACGUGCCAGCCGCCGCCGUAAUAC